rnacentral:rRNA from 1 species
UGCCCUAGGCUUUGGGAUAACCCUCGGAAACGGGGGCUAAUACCGGAUAUGACCUGACCUCGCACGGGGUUUGGUGGAAAGUUUUUCGGCCUGGGAUGGGCUCGCGGCCUAUCAUCUUGUUGGUGGGGUGAUGGCCUACCAAGGCGACGACGGGUAGCCGGCCUGAGAGGGCGACCGGCCACACUGGGACUGAGACACGGCCCACACUCCUACGGGAGGCAGCAGUGGGGAAUAUUGCACAAUGGGCGGAAGCCUGAUGCAGCGACGCCGCGUGAGGGAUGACGGCCUUCGGGUUGUAAACCUCUUUCAGCAGGGACGAAGCGUGAGUGACGGUACCUGCAGAAGAAGCGCCGGCCAACUACGUGCCAGCAGCCGCGGUAAGACGUAGGGCGCGAGCGUUGUCCGGAUUUAUUGGGCGUAAAGAGCUCGUAGGCGGCUUGUCGCGUCGACCGUGAAAACUUGGGGCUCAACCCCAAGCCUGCGGUCGAUACGGGCAGGCUAGAGUUCGGUAGGGGAGACUGGAAUUCCUGGUGUAGCGGUGAAAUGCGCAGAUAUCAUGAGGAACACCGGUGGCGAAGGCGGGUCUCUGGGCCGAUACUGACGCUGAGGAGCGAAAGCGUGGGGAGCGAACAGGAUUAGAUACCCUGGUAGUCCACGCUGUAAACGUUGGGCGCUAGGUGUGGGGGGCCUCUCCGGUUCUCUGUGCCGCAGCUAACGCAUUAAGCGCCCCGCCUGGGGAGUACGGCCGCAAGGCUAAUACUCAUAGGAAUUGACGGGGGCCCGCACAAGCGGCGGAGCAUGCGGAUUAAUUCGAUGCAACGCGAAGAACCUUACCUGGGUUUGACAUGGCCGCAAAACUGUCAGAGAUGGCAGGUCCUUCGGGGGCGGUCACAGGUGGUGCAUGGCUGUCGUCAGCUCGUGUCUUGAGAUGUUGGGUUAAGUCCCGCAACGAGCGCAACCCUCUUUCGAUGUUGCCAGCGCGUUAUGGCGGGGACUCAUCGAAGACUGCCGGGGUCAACUCGGAGGAAGGUGGGGAGGACGUCAAGUCAUCAUGCCCCCUAUGUCCAGGGCUUCACGCGUGCUACAAUGGCCGGUACAAUGGGGUGCGAUACCGUGAGGUGGAGAGAAUCCCAAAAAACCGGUCUCAGUUCGGAUCGGGGUGUGCAACUCGACCCCGCGAAGUGGGAGUCGCUAGUAAUCGCAGAUCAGCAACGCUGCGGUGAAUACGUUCCCGGGCCCUGUACAC